CUAACUGAGCAAAGAGCAGCAAUAGUUCGUCAAGAACAGAACAGCACAAAAUCACAGGCAGAGCUGAAGACAGUGAGAGAACGUAUUAUUGCUUCUGCAGAAGAAAUUAAUGAUUACAAACCAGAACUUUGGCAGGGCCACAUUGGGACUAGCCAGGCCUCAGACUAAAUGUCCUUUAGAGCUCAAAGGUUGAAUUUAUGAAAAAUAUUAAUGAAAUUAUGGGAGGACAGAGCCAACUUAAGAAUGGGGUGCAUUGGAUACCUUACCUCUAUAGAAAAUACAAUUCAGAAGUCAAAAUCAGAAAACAAAAACAUUUAGCGCAAGAUAAUUUCAUAGAGAGAACAGAUAAGGCCCUGAAUAUGUAAGUGAAAAUAAAGUCCACAUUAAAGAUCAUUGAAAUAUUAUUUCAGAGCUUCUCUUGUGCCAAGCUACUCAUGCUUCUCAUUAUUUGGAGCUGCUGAACUUAAUAGUUCCCUAUACUAUCCUGAUAAGCUGAAACUAUUCAAGAUACCUGAAAAAGUAUAGCAUAGAGAGGAGGAAAUGGAUACUUUUGCCCUACAGUCAAAGAUUGCUCAAAGAUUGCCUUGAUUAUUAACAUUUUUCAUUCCAAAAAGGAAAUCUUCCUUCAAAUGAUAAUUUCCAAUGCCUCUUAUUCUCUGUAUAAGAUCCACUAUGAAAGUUUGACAGAUCUCUCAAACUGGGCUGUGACAAGGAUUUGAAUAUUGACAUCAUCCCAAACUCUCAGUAGUAUACCCUGACUUUAGUAGACACUGACAUUAGAAUAAUAAAGACUAAUCAUUGCGAAGUCUGACACCAAGACUUCCAUGAAGACUUUGCAGCCUGGAAUUAUCAUCUCCAUGAUUGGUCAAUUUGGUGUAGCUUUCUAUUCUGCUUACCUAGUGGCAUUGAAAAUGCCAACAUCAUUCACUGUAUCACAGGCCAUCAUCAGUCAUCUUGACUUUUGUCUUGCCACUGGACUUCAAUGUCUCUUGAAGAGAA